rnacentral:rRNA from 1 species
CGUAGGUGACCUGCGGAAGGAUCAUUACC